rnacentral:rRNA from 1 species
GAACGCUAGCGACAGGCUAACACAUGCAAGUCGAGGGGCAGCACGGGAGUAGCAAUACAACUGGUGGCGACCGGCGCACGGGUGAGUAACGCGUAUGCAACCUACCUAUCGAGAGGGGAAUAACCCGGCGAAAGUCGGACUAAUACCGCAUAAAACAGGGGCACCGCAUGGUGAUAUUUGUUAAAGAGAUUCGCUGAUAGAUGGGCAUGCGUUCCAUUAGGUAGUUGGUGAGGUAACGGCUCACCAAGCCGACGAUGGAUAGGGGAACUGAGAGGUUGGUCCCCCACACUGGUACUGAGACACGGACCAGACUCCUACGGGAGGCAGCAGUGAGGAAUAUUGGUCAAUGGGCGGGAGCCUGAACCAGCCAAGUCGCGUGAAGGAAAGAAGGAUCUAUGGUUCGUAAACUUCUUUUGCAGGGGAAUAAAGUGCAGGACGUGUCCUGUUUUGUAUGUACCCUGAGAAUAAGGAUCGGCUAACUCCGUGCCAGCAGCUGC